GCUGCUGUGAACAUAGUUGAGCAUAGUUGAGUUUUUGUGGGAUGUUGGAUCAUCUGUUGAGUAUGUAGCCAGGAGUGGUAUAGUUGGGUCUUGCAGUAGAACUAUUCCCUGUUUUCUGAGAAAGUGCCAUAUUGACAUCCAAAAUUAUUGUAAAAGUUUGCACUCCCACCAGGAAUGAAGAACUGUUACCCUUGCUUAUGAAAGUAGAAAAAUUCUCCUUGCAAAAGCCAGAGAAGUUUUGUUUAAUACACACUUAGGAAAGAAUCUAGCAUCUCCAUCUUAAAUUUCUUUUCUGUGAAAGAUAAAAUAUUUAUCUUGAUUUGUAUAAUGCAAAGCUUCCAGUUUACUUCAGCUAAAAUAACAUGUUUGAAUUUCUCAAUAGUUCUAGGAUGUGAAUUAGAAAAUUUUUUCAUGGAGUUAAUCUGGUUCACUGAGGUUCAGCUGCAGGAUCUAACUUCUGUCUUUUAUUACUCUUGCUGUAUCUUUGAAUUCAGCUAUUGUAAGACUGAUCUUUCUGUCAUAAGACUCUAAGUUUGUGACCAAGGUACUGUAUUUGUUCAUAUUGGCUUACUUGUCUCAUGGAUUGUCAUGUAAUACCUUACACUCCCUUUCCAUUAAAAAGUAAAAGGCAUGAAAUUGGUGGGAAAAUACCCUUGUGAACAUUGGAAAUUAGAAUGGUAUUUGGGACUAAUUAGAAUCAUAUUCAAUCACAGUUGUAGGUGAUAGCUUAAGAAUAAAGAAAACAUUUUUUAAAAGUGCAGUAAACUCGACAGUUUAAAAAACACAAUUCUCCUUCUCUUAGCUCAAGAAAUGAGAAUUGUCAAGCCAAAUGUAGCACAAAAGAUUAUGGUGAGAGCUGCUAUCCUACCUCGUAGACGAUCACCUCCUUUCUGUAUUUCUACAGAGUGGAAAGAAAGUGAAAUGUUGUAUUUCCCUCGGGCUGCUAUGCAAGGAUUCGAAUCUUGGAAGCAUUAGAAGGAUCAUCCUCACCAUCAGCAAAACCUCUGUUCUUCUAUCUCAACCUCUUUUCUGUCCAACAAGCCCACCAGGCUCAUCUGGUUUCUGAAGCCAGCCCCCAUGUCACAGGGGAGGUUAGAAAUGCAGAGUUUCAGGUGCCAUCCAAGGUCUACUAAUUCUGUAUUCAACGUUUGAGAAGUGCCAGUUUUAUUUAAAUACUCCUGGUUAUAAUGGAAACACUCCUCUUAUACUUGGAAUACUUUAGGGCACUUGUAAUUCUGAAGAUAUUUAUUGAAGCAAUUUCAGAGUGUUCAAUGUAUUUUAAAGGUAUAAUUAUAAGCAACACAACUUUGAUUCAUGCAUGAUAGCAAUUGCCCAAUAACCUUAUGAAAGGACGUGAUCGAGGAAAUUACCUACAAUUCUACUAAAGAAGUCCAUUAGGAUGCAUCUGAAACAGAAGUAUGUUUUAUCAUACAAAACUAUAAAAUUCUGAUGACAGACUACUUUAAACUUGUAAAAAGAAGAAUUCAAAGAUGUUCUACUAUACAUCAUCCGAAGAUCAAACAAUAGCCUGAAAUGCAAUUGCAUUUAGCCAAAGACAUUGGUAUCUGUGCAUAUUAAAGACAUACGCAUAAAUAAAUUACAGAUUUAUCAUGAUGUGGUCUGACAGAGGGAAGAUGGUGUAGCAAUCUUUAAACAUAAGCAGAAAAGGUAGAGAUUGGAAGUGGGGUGAGACUGUGGCCCUUCAAAGCCUGCUUCAAAGCCUGUUCCAGUGAACCUUUUCCUCCAGCAAGCUUCCAUCACUUAAAAGUUCUGCUACCUCACAAAAUGGUACCUCCAACAUGAGGAACAAUGUUUAGACACAUCAGCCUAUUGGAGUCACACUUUCAAACGGUCACAAGAGAAUAAACCAAGAAGUGCUGUCUUUGGUGAUUUUACAAUCUAAAGUAGUGACAAAAACAAGAGUGAAUGAAACGCCAGAAAUGGAGAGCUCAGGGCUAAGGGGCUAAGUUCAGAACCCAGAAUACCCUGCAACUCAAAAGGUUUCACCCAUCUCUGCCUCCUAAGAGAUUGGAUGUACCAUCACACCUGACCAAAUAUUUUAAA
rnacentral:sRNA from 1 species